rnacentral:rRNA from 1 species
ACUCCUACGGGAGGCAGCAGUGGGGAAUAUUGCACAAUGGGCGAAAGCCUGAUGCAGCGACGCCGCGUGAGGGAUGACGGCCUUCGGGUUGUAAACCUCUUUCGACAGGGACGAAGCGCAAGUGACGGUACCUGUAGAAGAAGCACCGGCCAACUACGUGCCAGCAGCCGCGGUAAUACGUAGGGUGCGAGCGUUGUCCGGAAUUACUGGGCGUAAAGAGCUUGUAGGCGGUUUGUCGCGUCGUCUGUGAAAACU